UACGUAGGGUCCGAGCGUUGUCCGGAUUUAUUGGGCGUAAAGAGCUCGUAGGCGGCUCAGUAAGUCAGAUGUGAAAUCUCAGGGCUCAACCCGGAAACUGCAUCUGAUACUGCUGUGGCUUGAGUCUGGUAGGGGAACACGGAAUACCUGGUGUAGCGGUGAAAUGCGCAGAUAUCAGGUGGAACACCGAUGGCGAAGGCAGUGUUCUGGGCCAGUACUGACGCUGAGGAGCGAAAGCGUGGGGAGCAAACAGG
rnacentral:rRNA from 1 species